AAGAGGGAACCCGGUGGGAAUCCGGGACUGCCCCGCAGCGGUGAGUGGGAACGACCGCCGUCACAUGCACUGGACCCGACCAGGGUCCGGGAAGCGACGGCCAGUAGGUGCCGGACAGCCAUCGGGUGUCCGACGUGCCCAUGAGUCCGAAGACCU
rnacentral:ncRNA from 2 species